UACAGAGGGUGCGAGCGUUAAUCGGAAUUACUGGGCGUAAAGGGUGCGUAGGUGGUUAAAUAAGUCAGAUGUGAAAUCCCUGGGCUCAACCUAGGAACUGCAUUUGGUACUGUUUGGCUAGAGUACAGUAGAGGAAUGUGGAAUUUCCGGUGUAGCGGUGAAAUGCGUAGAUAUCGGAAGGAACAUCAGUGGCGAAGGCG
rnacentral:rRNA from 1 species